rnacentral:rRNA from 3 species
UUUAUUGGAGAGUUUGAUCCUGGCUCAGGAUGAACGCUGGCGGCGUGCCUAAUACAUGCAAGUCGAGCGAAUGGAUUAAGAGCUUGCUCUUAUGAAGUUAGCGGCGGACGGGUGAGUAACACGUGGGUAACCUGCCCAUAAGACUGGGAUAACUCCGGGAAACCGGGGCUAAUACCGGAUAA